rnacentral:rRNA from 1 species
UAGGGAAUCUUCCGCAAUGGACGCAAGUCUGACGGAGCAACGCCGCGUGAGUGAAGAAGGAUUUCGGUUCGUAAAACUCUGUUGUUAAGGAAGAACGAGUGUGAGAAUGGAAAGUUCAUACUGUGACGGUACUUAACCAGAAAGGGACGGCUAACUACGUGCCAGCAGCCGCGGUAAUACGUAGGUUCCGAGCGUUGUCCGGAUUUAUUGGGCGUAAAGCGAGCGCAGGCGGUUAGAUAAGUCUGAAGUUAAAGGCAGUGGCUCAACCAUUGUAGGCUUUGGAAACUGUUUAACUUGAGUGCAGAAGGGGAGAGUGGAAUUCCAUGUGUAGCGGUGAAAUGCGUAGAUAUAUGGAGGAACACCAGUGGCGAAGGCGACUCUCUGGUCUGUAACUGACGCUGAGGUUCGAAAGCGUGGGUAGCAAACAGG